AGCCGUGUGAUGAACACAAAGCGAACUAUUCUUUCGCCUUUUACUAAAGAAUACCGUGUGUGCGUCACUAAAAGCGGCAUACGCCUAUUUUUGAAAGAGUUCUCUUUUGAGAGCU